UAAAAGUAAAUGUUUUAUUUUCUUAAAUGCUCUGAGAAAUAAUAUCUUAAGCACAUGUUGCCAACACUUUCCUGUUUGUAUCUCACCAUCCUAGAAACAUCAUCCCUACAGAGUAUUGCCCCUGUUGAAGCACAGGGAGACACUGUCCAUGAUGAAGCUCCACCAUGUCCUGCGCCUCCUGUCAGGCAGCCAGCAGCCCCAGGCUACAAUCAGGAUGUUGCACAGUGGAACUGCUCCCAUCAGCAGCAGAUCUGGAUGAAGACUGAGCUUGAGACAUUGGGUCUGUGGCCAGGGUCACGUCCAGUAGCUUCUUCUGAUGUUGGACGGCCCAGAGUGAUCAUCGGCACCAGUGGUCAGUACUAUUGAGGGGAAAAACGGUCUGUCUAGUUACUGGACCAGAUACAAUGAGUCGGAGAGGUAAUAAAGUCUGUCGGCACGAGGACCUUGGAUUUAUUAAGUAAAGUGGC
ensembl:lncRNA